CCUACGGGAGACAGCAGUCGAGAAUCAUUCACCAUGGGGGAAACACUGAUGGUGCGCCGCCGCGUGGGGGAAUGAAGGUCUUCGGAUUGUAAACCCCUGUCAUGUGGGAGCAAAUUAAAAAGAUAGUACCACAAGAGGAAGAGACGGCUAACUCUGUGCCAGCAGCCGCGGUAAUACAGAGGUCUCAAGCGUUGUUCGGAAUCACGGGGCGUAACGCGUGCGUAGGCUGUUUCGUAAGUAGUGUGUGAAAGGCGCGGGCUCAACCCGCGGACGGCACAUGAUACUGCGAGACUAGAGUAAUGGAGGGGGAACCGGAAUUCUCGGUGUAGCAGUAAAAUGCGUAGAUAUCGAGAGGAACACUCGUGGCGAAGGCGGGUUCCUGGACAUUAACUGACGCUGAGGCACGAAGGCCAGGGGAGCGAAAGGGAUUAGAUACCCGAGUAGUC
rnacentral:rRNA from 1 species